GCUGUUGAUGAUUCGAUCCAACUUAUUUGAGGUGUUGUGGAGCCAAGCCCUUGCUUUGCAGGGGGAACCUACUUGAGGAAGCAACGUUUCACAUGAAAUUAAUGGAUUUAACUGAGGC